rnacentral:rRNA from 1 species
UCGAGAAUCUUCGGCAAUGGGCGCAAGCCUGACCGAGCGACGCCGCGUGGAGGAUGAAGGCCUUCGGGUUGUAAACUCCUGUCGAGGGGGAAGAAGGGUCGAAAGACCUUGACUGAUCCCUGGAGGAAGCACGGGCUAAGUUCGUGCCAGCAGCCGCGGUAAGACGAACCGUGCGAACGUUAUUCGGAAUCACUGGGCUUAAAGCGCGUGUAGGCGGGACGGCACGUCGGUCGCUGAAAGCCCCCGGCUCAACCGGGGAACGGGCGCCGAUACGACCGUCCUGGAGGGACGUAGGGGGACCUGGAACUUCCGGUGGAGCGGUGAAAUGCGUUGAGAUCGGAAGGAACGCCCGUGGCGAAAGCGAGGUCCUGGACGUUUUCUGACGCUGAGACGCGAAAGCCAGGGGAGCGAACG